rnacentral:rRNA from 1 species
GACGAACGCUGGCGGCGUGCUUAACACAUGCAAGUCGAACGGAAAGGCCCGGCUUUUGGGGGGAGCUCGAGGUGCGAACGGGUGAGUAACACGUGAGUAACCUGCCCUUGACUGUGGGAUAACUUCAGGAAACUGGGGCUCAUACCGGCUAGGAGCUCCUGCUGCAUGGUGGGGGCUGGUAGGUUUCGGCGGUUGGGGGUGGACUCGCGGCCUAUGAGGUUGAUGGUGGGGUAGUGUCUUACCAAGGCCUGGCACCGUAGCAGGCCUGAGAGGGUGACCGGCCAAACCACGAUGGAGAUACGGCCCAGACUACUACCGGAGGCAGGGGUGGGGAAUAUUGCACAAUAGGCGGAAGCAUGAUGCAGUAAAGCCGCGUGCGGGAUGAGAGCCUUCGGGUUGUAAUGCGAUUUCCUCUGUGACGAAGCGUGAGUGACGGUAAUGGGUAAAGAAGCACCGGCUAACUACGUG